rnacentral:lncRNA from 1 species
UUUAAAAAAAAAAAAAAAAGNCUGGUCCCGCCUCCCCUGGCCUGGCCUGGAGCCUGCUUUCCAGGUGGAGUCAUGGCUCUGAGCCUCUGCCUCCCCUUCCACAGAACAGGGUGUGCCAGUACCUGUCUCCGGGGUUGUGGGAACGAAACGUCAGGAGGGAGGUGAAGCACCUAGUGCACAGAGGAUUCGCCGCCCUCUGUUCCACAGCGGCACUUAGAUCCUGAUGGGAAAGUGGGCACCGGAAGGCAAGGUGGGAGAGAGCUGAUAGCCAGAACCAGGACCCCAGUUCACACCCCAGAGGAUUUUCCAUUCAGUCUGGCUUGGACCCCAAGCAUGGAAUUUGGACUUUUAGAAUCCCCUAUGGUAACAACAAAAAUAAAAACCAAACAGUGACAGACUGCUACUGUGAAUUCAGCAGUGCUUUUACGUAAAUUUGUCGAUUUAAAACUGAUGGCCUGUCUUUACACAUAGGCAGAGUAGUGCUUAUUCAGUGGGUGGACAACGCUUGGUGGAUCUGGAGACUCACAGACUUGUGACAACUCCACGGCCUUCUUGAGACGUCUUCUCCCAGUUGGAAACCACUGGCCUCAAGUUGAUGGUUCAAGCUGCCAGCUCUGUUCUCCACAGAUUUCCGUGAUUUCACUCAGAUAAGCUCUCACUGAAGUUUUCAAGUUGGAGUGCCUUGGGUCGUAAUAUCUUAAUGGACAAUGCUACAUUCAUAAUGCCACAAACAGGAGGUGUGUUAACUGAGUGUUUGCAUGAGUAGGCUUACAGCAGGAUGCUCUGUGUGUGAGGCAGGGGAAUCUGAACAUGCGUCAAGACCACUAGGCAUCAGUCUUUUAACUUGGGAGGUUUGAGCAAUCAAGCAGCCCUCCAUUCCUCUCCCUCUCUCUUUUUCUAAAGUGUAAGCUCUUCAAUAGAAAGUGAGCCUCUCAAGGGCAGAGAUCUUCAUCUGUUUUUUUUUUUUUUUUAAGAUUUUAUUUAUUUAUUUGAGAGAGAGAGAGAGUAAGAGAGAGAAAGCACGAGUGGGGUGAGGGGCAAAGAAAGAUGCGGACUCCCUGCUAAGCAGGGAACCCAGUGCGGCUAGGUCCUG